AAUAAUUUAUUUGAUGGUUCCUUACUACAUGGAUAACUGUAGUAAUUCUAGAGCUAAUACAUGCGUAAAGUCUCGACCUCACGGAAGGGAUGUAUUUAUUAGAUAAAAAACCAAUGCGGGUACUGCCCGGUUUUGUGGUGAAUCAUAGUAACUUUUCGAAUCGCAUGGCUUCACGCCGGCGAUAGUUCAUUCAAAUUUCUGCCCUAUCAGCUUUCGACGGUAGUGUAGUGGACUACCGUGGCGUUAACGGGUAACGGGGAAUUAGGGUUCGAUUCCGGAGAGGGAGCCUGAGAAACGGCUACCACA
rnacentral:rRNA from 1 species